rnacentral:rRNA from 1 species
UACGUAGGGCGCAAGCGUUGUCCGGAAUUAUUGGGUGUAAAGGGAGCGCAGGCGGUAUGGCAAGUCAGAUGUGAAAACCCAGGGCUCAACCCUGGGACUGCAUUUGAAACUGCCAUACUGGAGUGCCGGAGAGGUAAGUGGAAUUCCUAGUGUAGCGGUGAAAUGCGUAGAUAUUAGGAGGAACACCAGUGGCGAAGGCGGCUUACUGGACGGUAACUGACGCUGAGGCUCGAAAGCGUGGGGAGCAAACAGG